AGGAGGUGGAGCUCCAAGGACUGACACUCAUUGUAAUCUUGUUAAAACUGUUCUGUGUCUGUUGCAGAGCUCAUUCAAGCUGCAUUAGUGAACACAGACAAUGGUACCCCAAUCUAUUAUUCUGCUCUUUGUCUUUACAUGUACCACAUAUGGAAAUGAAAUCAAACCAACCAAACCUGAGGAGUUUUCUGAGGAGGGUUCAAGUGUUAAAUUAUCCUGCAGUUAUUCAUCUGCACAGUAUUUAUUCUGGUACCGUCAGUAUCCCGGAUCAGCUCCUGAAUUCCUUGUAAACCUCUUUUAUCAAGCAAAAGAUGCUAAGUCUGAUGUAGAUCCCAGAUUCACUGCUAAACCCAACAAAGAAAAGCAAAACCAUGUGGAUCUGGAGAUCUCCUCUGCUAAAGUGACUGACUCUGCUCUGUACUACUGUGCCCUGAGGCCCACAGUGACAGGAAACACAAGAACACUGUACAAAAACCUGACACAUCUGAGAAGACAAAUCUAUUUAUAUAUACAAUACUUAAAUACCUAUGAAGAAGACUUGUCCUCAGCACAGGACAGGGUUGAUCAGUCUUAA